rnacentral:rRNA from 1 species
AGCGAACGCUGGCGGCAGGCCUAACACAUGCAAGUCGAACGGAUCCUUCGGGAUUAGUGGCGGACGGGUGAGUAACACGUGGGAACGUGCCCUUUGGUUCGGAACAACUCAGGGAAACUUGAGCUAAUACCGGAUGUGCCCUUCGGGGGAAAGAUUUAUCGCCAUUGGAGCGGCCCGCGUCUGAUUAGCUAGUUGGUGGGGUAAAGGCCCACCAAGGCGACGAUCAGUAGCUGGUCUGAGAGGAUGAUCAGCCACAUUGGGACUGAGACACGGCCCAAACUCCUACGUGAGGCAGCAGUGGGGAAUCUUGCGCAAUGGGCGAAAGCCUGACGCAGCCAUGCCGCGUGAAUGAUGAAGGUCUUAGGAUUGUAAAAUUCUUUCACCGGGGACGAUAAUGACGGUACCCGGAGAAGAAGCCCCGGCUAACUUCGUGCCAGCAGCCGCGGUAAUAC